rnacentral:rRNA from 1 species
AACGAACGCUGGCGGCAUGCCUAACACAUGCAAGUCGAACGAGACCUUCGGGUCUAGUGGCGCACGGGUGCGUAACGCGUGGGAACCUGCCCUUAGGUUCGGAAUAACUCCCCGAAAGGGGUGCUAAUACCGGAUAAUGUCUUCGGACCAAAGAUUUAUCGCCUUUGGAUGGGCCCGCGUUGGAUUAGCUAGUUGGUAGGGUAAAAGCCUACCAAGGCGACGAUCCAUAGCUGGUCUGAGAGGAUGAUCAGCCACACUGGGACUGAGACACGGCCCAGACUCCUACGGGGGGCAGCAGGGGGGAAUAUUGGACAAGGGGCGAAAGCCUGAUCCAGCAAUGCCGGGGGGGUGAUGAAGGCCUUGGGGUUUUAAAGCUCUUUUCCCCGGGAUUAUAAUGACGGUACCGGGAGAAUAAGCCCCGGCUAACUCCGU